rnacentral:rRNA from 1 species
GAUCAUUAUCGAAAUAAACCUGAUGGGUUGUUGCUGGUUCUCUAGGGAAACAUGUGCACGCCUUGUCAUCUUUAUAUCUCCACCUGUGCACUCUUUGUAGACCUUUUCAGGUCUAUGUUGAUUCUUCAUUUACCCCCAAUGUAUGUUGAUAGAAUGUCGUCCAUAAUGUAAUCUAUACAACUUUCAGCAACGGAUCUCUUGGCUCUCGCAUCGAUGAAGAACGCAGCGAAAUGCGAUAAGUAAUGUGAAUUGCAGAAUUCAGUGAAUCAUCGAAUCUUUGAACGCACCUUGCGCUCCUUGGUAUUCCGAGGAGCAUGCCUGUUUGAGUGUCAUUAAUAUAUCAAAUCCUCUCUCUCUCUUGUUGAGUAGGUUUGGAUGUGGGGGGUUUGCUGAGGGUUCAGCUCUCCUGAAAUGCAUUAGCAGAACAACCUGUUCAUUGGUGUGAUAAACUAUCUACGCUAUUGAAUGUGAGGGAAGUUCAGCUUUCUAACAGUCCUCUGAGACAGUUUAUCAUUUAUGUGACCUCAAAUCAGGUAGG